rnacentral:rRNA from 1 species
GACGAACGCUGGCGGCGUGCCUAAUACAUGCAAGUUGAGCGAUGAAGAUUGGUGCUUGCACCAAUUUGAAGAGCAGCGAACGGGUGAGUAACGCGUGGGGAAUCUGCCUUUGAGCGGGGGACAACAUUUGGAAACGAAUGCUAAUACCGCAUAAUAACUUUAAACAUAAGUUUUAAGUUUGAAAGAUGCAAUUGCAUCACUCAAAGAUGAUCCCGCGUUGUAUUAGCUAGUUGGUGAGGUAAAGGCUCACCAAGGCGAUGAUACAUAGCCGACCUGAGAGGGUGAUCGGCCACAUUGGGACUGAGACACGGCCCAAACUCCUACGGGAGGCAGCAGUAGGGAAUCUUCGGCAAUGGACGAAAGUCUGACCGAGCAACGCCGCGUGAGUGAAGAAGGUUUUCGGAUCGUAAAACUCUGUAGGUAGAGAAGAACGUUGGUGAGAGUGGAAAGCUCAUCAAGUGACGGUAACUACCCAGAAAGGGACGGCUAACUACGUG